UACGUAGGGGGCAAGCGUUGUCCGGAAUCAUUGGGCGUAAAGCGCGUGUAGGCGGCCAGAUAAGUCCGCUGUGAAAUCUCGAGGCUCAACUUCGAGCUGUCGGUGGAAACUGUCUGGCUAGAGUCCGGAAGAGGAGAAUGGAAUUCCUGGUGUAGCGGUGAAAUGCGCAGAUAUCAGGAGGAACACCGGUGGCGAAGGCGGGUCUCUGGGCCGAUACUGACGCUGAGGAGCGAAAGCGUGGGGAGCGAACAGG
rnacentral:rRNA from 1 species